rnacentral:miRNA from 1 species
UGACUAGAUCGAACACUCGCUU